GGACUACUGGGGUUUCUAAUCCUGUUUGAUCCCCACACUUUCGUGCCUCAGCGUCAGUUACUCCUUAGUAAGCUGCCUUCGCUAUCGGUGUUCUGGACGAUAUCUAAGCAUUUCACCGCUACACCGUCCAUUCCGCUUACCUCAUCAGUACUCAAGUCCAUCAGUAUCAAUUGCACCUCGACAGUUGAGCUGCCGUAUUUCACAACUGACUUAAUAGACCGCCUACGCACCCUUUAAACCCAAUAAAUCCGGACAACGCUUGCCACCUACGUAUUACCGCGGCGGCUGGCAC
rnacentral:rRNA from 2 species